GGCGAACAUGCCCAAAAAGAGGACAUGUCUGCUCAAAGAAUUAGAAGGCCAGCCUGGCAUGAAUGCAUGUCAGGCUGCCUGCCAAUCAUGCAGCUGGCCAACUAAGGGCAUACUAUGCAGACAGCACCCUGAGCUUGGCAUAAAUGCAUCUAAUGAUGCGCUCACUCAACGCUUUCUAAGGACUGUCCCCUAGCACUCGCUGGCCACUUGUCUCCUUACCUUCUUACUGGCAGGCAGAAACUCCUGGUAUAUGGUCUGGGACAGAGAAAAGCUGUAUGUAGUGAGUGUAGAAGAAAGGGAACAUGCCACAGUGUUAGAGAGAUAAAAAGUCAGCAUUACCUUAAAGGAUCACUAUAGGGUCAGGAACACAAACAUUAAUUCAUGACCUUAUAGUGUUAACACCACCAUCUGGCCCCCCAUAUAGCAAAAUCCUACUAUAUUCAAGCCUGAAGCUGUAACUCUGCAUGCUGUUAGACUCAUAAAAACAAGCAGUCUGCUGACAUCAUUAGAAGUGGUGGCCUGAUCCAAUCACAGUGCUUCCCCAUAGGAUUGGCUCAGACUGACAAAGAGGCAGAUCGGGGUCAGAGCCAGCAUGAUUCAAACACAGCCCUGGCCAAUCAGCAUCUCCUUAUAUAGAUGAAUUUAAUUAAUGAAUCUCUAUGAGGAAAUUUCAGUGUCUGCAUGCAGAGGGAGGAGACACUGAAUGUUUGGAUUCAUUUUAGGCAGCCAUGACCCAGGAAGGAUCUCUAACAGUCAUCUAAGGAGUGGCCAGUGAAGUUAUCACUAGGAUGUAAUGUAAACACAGCAUUUUCUCUGAAAAGACCGUGCUUACAGCAAAAAGCCUGAUGGUAAUGAUUCUACUCACCAGAACAAAUUCAAUAAGCUGUAGUUGUUCUGGUGACUAUAGUGUCCCUUUAACUAUAUUCAUUGUCAGCCAGUCCACACACGUUUUGUUCCCAUACAUCCCUCUUAAGUUUCCAUACUUAAGUAAGAGUAUGUGAAAAGUAGUUAGGGUUGCCACUUUUUUUGGAAAAACAUACCGGCCUUACUAAUUUGCAUAAUUAAAUAUAUGUGGGUGACAUCACAUGAUGUAAAUCACAAGGAGUGACAUAAGAGAAAAUGCUGUAAAAUCACCAAAAAACUACUUAGUUUAAAUCUGCUGUAUAGAUGGAUUCCUCCCAGUGCCCCCAUGUCUCCCAGUGCCCUCAUGAGUGAGUGCCCCCAUGUGUCGAUUACUCCAGGUCUCAGUGUUCCUAUGUAUCAGUAUCUCAGUGCCCCAUGUCUCCCAGUGUCCCCUAGUGUUGUGUCCCCAGGUCUCCCAGUGAUCCUAUGUAUCAGUGUCUCAAUGCCCCAUGUCUCCCUGUGUCCCCAUGUAUCCCAGGGUCCCCAUGUCACUAGGACACUAGGUAGACGGGGAGACCUGGGGACACAGGGAGACCUAGGGACACGGAGACACCAGUGACACUGGGAGACUAGGGGACAAUGAAAGUAUUUAGAAAACUGGGCAGACUAGAUGGGCCGAAUGGUUCUUAUCUGCCGUCACAUUCUAUGUUUCUAUGUUAAUGGGAAAAUAGGGGACACGUGAAGACAUGGGGACACAGACACCAGGGACAAAGAUACUAGAGACACUGGCUGGGGGACAUGGGGACAUUGAGACAUGGGGGCACUGGGAGACAUGGGGACACUGAGACACCAGGGCCACAGACACUAGGGACACUAGCUUGAGGACAUUGUGACACUUGACACACUGAGAGACAUGGAGGCACUAGGAGACAUGGGGACAGUGAGACACUGGCAGACUGGGGGCACUGGGAGACUAGGGGGCACUGAGACACCAGGGACACUGUCUGGGAGACAUGGGGACACUGUGUUCCCAUGUGUCUGUGCCAUAAUGUCUCCCAAUGUCCCUUAGUGUCUCAGUAUCUGCCAUAAUGUCUCCCAAUGUCCCUUUGUGUCUCAGUGUCUGCCAUAAUGUCUCCCAUUGUCCCUUAGUGUCU